AUUCUUCCCAACAAAUACAGUGAGGAAGGAAAAAAAAAGAAAUGUCCAGAACAAUGUCAAAGUCCAUCCUAAUGGAUUAUAAAGUAAAUCAAAAGAGUUCUUCUGGUGUAUCUGAUUCUGCUGGCCCUUGUUCUCCUAGUGCCUUUGAUGAUUCAGGAUCUCAGGCACACAAUACCAAAGUAGUGAUGAAACAAUUCUCAGAAUUAAAAGAAAUACUAAUGGGGAUGACGGAGAAAAUUGAAAAUAUAGAGAAAAGGAUCAUUAGAGUGGAAAGCAAAGUACUCCCACAUGAGACAGAGCAAGUGUUGCCACCGCCAGAUAAUAAUAAAAAAAUACAAACACAUGAGACUGUAACUACCUUACCCACACAGGUUAAAAUUGAGCCCAAAUAAAAUUGGAGUAUGCAAAUGUAAAAUGGACAGACCCAAAGAAAUCAACAAAAGAUCUAUUACUGGCUGUUUUUGGGAGAAGAAAGUUGGCGACACACACCUACACAGGGAAGUGCUUAAACGCCUUUAGGGGAAGAGAGGCCAAACCUCAGCUGGAUCCAGACAAAGUGUGUGACAUAAUAAACUACGUACAUCAGGAAAAAAUUUGGCACAGAUCUUAGACUAAUCAAACAAGCCAUUUCCCAAAAGUGUGCAUUUUGUUUUCUAGCCCUUGUUGCCUUGUUGUCUGUCAAUUUAUUUAUUUGCUUGCAUCAUUGUUUGUCUGUUUGUUAC